CGAAAGCCUGACGGAGCAACGCCGCGUGUGGGAAGAAGGCCUUUGGGCUGUCAACCACUUUUCUCAGGGAAGAAGUUCUGACGGUACCUGAGGAAUCAGCCUCGGCUAACUCCGUGCCAGCAGCCGCGGUAAUACGGAGGAGGCAAGCGUUAUUCGGAAUUAUUGGGCGUAAAGCGUCCGCAGGGGGCGCAUCAAGUCUGCUGUUAAAGGCUGGAGCUCAACUCCGGUAGAGCAGUGGAAACUGGUGCGCUAGAGGGCGACAGGGGUAGAGGGAAUUCCCAGCGUAGCGGUGAAAUGCGUAGAGAUUGGGAAGAACACCGGUGGCGAAAGCGCUCUACUGGGCCGUGACUGACCCUGAGGGACGAAAGCUAAGGUAGCG
rnacentral:rRNA from 1 species